CUUUAUGCGCAGUAUUGACAGCAUGCUUUGUCACAAAUUAACUGGCUCCAUGUUGAUCCACACGGUUGAGAGCUAAUUUCUCCCCCAACGCUGUCUGUAUCAGCCAACGGAGAGAAACGUGUGUGAGGCUCCUUAUCACCUUGCACCGACGUGGUGAAUUCCUCCUGUGUCCGUAGAUUUAUGAGGCUGCGGUUCAUCAGUUGCACUCCGCUCCCAUCGGGCCAGCAUCAGGGCUCUUUUUCGCGUGUAAUACUGACGUACGAGACCUGCGGGAUCUCUGGGCACGAUUUAGCCGAUGCCGAUGCCUCUCGAUCUUUACGUGACACUCACCGGAGGACGUCCCGCGGAUCCCAUGUUUAUAACAGCCCAAGUUGCAUAGAAUUUCUUCCACUUCAGUCAUAGAGUGGAUCUGCAUUACGAUGGCAUCGCUUAAAGAGUAUUUAUAAAUGUUCGUAUUUAAAUAACGAGAUUAUGGAUGAGGAAGAUCAGAUCCGCUGGCCAAAUUUCAUCAAGCGGACACCAGUUCAUCUUUGCAUACUCUAAUUAGGUUAUUAUCGACGUCGUUUUACCGUAAUAAGUCUGGCAUGAAUUAGUUUUUAAUGCAUUUAACAUGCAGGUGCAAUAUACGACUUUAAUUGGAAUCUAUGGCUUUUUAAGUUUGGUAAACAGCGUCUUAUAUGUCUUAUAUACGGUAAUGUUUUAGCGUGUGAUUGGUUCAUAAUUUCAGCAUUAGUGCCGGGAUUUUGCGGCGAUCACGUAUCAGGCUUGCUUGCUGGAGAAUAUGCCGUAUAUCCUAAGCAUGUCGCUCAGCUUUGGGAAGCAUCGGCACUGAGAAGUGCCAGUCUCUCACUGUAAUAAGGGAGGGAGGCGUUCCCACCCCUCCGAAACUGACAGGUAGCGGCGUGCUUUGACGCCUUUCUGAGUUUUCGGCGAAGGCGAGCGGAUCAAUGAACCAGUCGCACAAAAGCCAGAAGCCAAUCUGCUUCGAUGCCAUUCAGAUCGCCAAUGCGAAGAUGAAGGGCACGCACUCUGUCAAGAGGCACCGCAUCACUAUACACACCUCUCAUGGUGAUGGAUGCACUGAGGUCUUAACACGCUCGGGCCGCUCCGGCGCUCGCGGCCGCAACUCCACCUCCUCGGCCGACGAGCAGCCGCACGUCGGCAACUAUCGGCUGCUCAAGACCAUCGGCAAAGGCAACUUUGCCAAGGUCAAGCUGGCACGGCACAUACUCACUGGCAGAGAGGUUGCAAUCAAAAUCAUCGAUAAGACGCAGCUGAAUCCCACCAGUCUUCAGAAGCUUUUCAGGGAAGUGCGCAUAAUGAAGAUUUUAAAUCAUCCAAAUAUAGUUAAGCUGUUCGAGGUCAUAGAGACAGAAAAGACGCUGUACCUGGUGAUGGAAUAUGCCAGUGGAGGCGAGGUCUUCGACUACCUUGUCGCACACGGGAGGCUGAAGGAAAAGGAGGCCAGAGCUAAAUUUAGACAGAUAGUGUCUGCAGUGCAGUAUUGCCACCAGAAGCACAUCGUGCAUAGGGACUUGAAGGCAGAGAACCUGCUGCUGGAUGGGGAUAUGAACAUCAAAAUCGCUGACUUCGGCUUCAGCAACGAGUUUACGCUGGGCAGCAAGCUGGACACCUUCUGCGGCAGCCCCCCCUAUGCCGCCCCUGAGCUUUUCCAGGGCAAGAAGUAUGAUGGGCCCGAGGUGGAUGUCUGGAGCCUGGGGGUCAUCCUCUACACGCUGGUCAGCGGUUCACUGCCCUUCGAUGGCCAGAACCUCAAGGAGCUGCGUGAGCGUGUGCUGAGGGGAAAGUACAGGAUUCCUUUCUACAUGUCCACGGACUGUGAGAACCUGCUAAAACGCUUUCUGGUGCUGAACCCUGUCAAGCGAGGCACGCUUGAGCAAAUCAUGAAGGACCGGUGGAUCAACGCCGGCUUUGAGGAGGAUGAACUGAAGCCAUUCAUGGAGCCGGAGCUGGACAUCUCUGACCAGAAGAGGAUAGACAUCAUGGUGGGGAUGGGCUACACCCGCGAGGAGAUCCAUGACUCGCUGGCACGUAUGGUGUAUGAUGAAAUGACUGCCACCUACCUGCUGCUGGGGAGGAAAUCUUCAGAGCCGGAUGCUGCAGACUCAGGCACCAGCAGCCACCUCUCGGUCCCCAAACCCAGACCCAACAGCGAGAUCAAUGGUGGCCAGUCCCCCUCCCACCUGAAGGUGCAGAGGAGUACCUCCAGCCAGAAGCAGAGACGCUACAGUGACCAGGCUGGCCCCCCUGUCACCUCGGCAGUAGGAUACACCAAGCGGAGCCCCACGAGCCCAGCUGAGGGUGACCUCAAAGAGGAUGGUGUGACGCAGCCACGGAAGUCCAGCACGGCUGGAGGGCGUGGCCUUGCCCCCCCGAGCCCCAUGCUGGGCAAUGCCAACAACCCCAACAAGGCUGACAUUCCGGACCGCAAAAAGGGCUCCGUUGCCCCCAGCGGUAACGCCAUGUCUGCUGGGAUGACGAGGCGGAACACGUAUGUGUGUAGUGAGAAGACACCCGCUGACAGGCACACCGUUGUUCAGAACGGCAAAGAGAACAGUGCUGUGGUACCAGCCAGCCAGCGGACAGCGGUGGCCUCCACACACAGCAUCAGUGGCACCACGCCUCCGGACCGGCUACGCUUCCCACGGGGCACGGCCAGCCGGAGCACCUUCCACGGGGGGCAGCUGCGGGAGCGCCGCACAGCCACCUACAAUGGGCCGCCGGCAUCGCCCACGCUGUCGCACGAUGCCGCACCGCUCUCGCAGUCACGCAGCCGUGGCUCCUCCAACCUCUUCACCAAGCUCACUUCCAAGCUCACCCGCAGAGUCCCAACCGAGUUUGAGAGAAACAGCAGAUUUGAGGGCUCAAGUCGCAAUGUAUCUGGGGAUCAAAAAGACGAAAACAAAGACAGCAAGCCUCGCUCCCUGCGAUUCACCUGGAGUAUGAAGACCACCAGUGCCAUGGAGCCCGGCGACAUCAUGCGCGAGAUCCGCAAGGUGCUGGAUGCCAACAACUGCGAUUACGAGCAGCGCGAGCGAUUCCUGCUGCUCUGCGUCCAUGGUGAUGGGCAUGCCCACGUCGACACUCUGGUCCAAUGGGAGAUGGAGGUGUGCAAACUGCCCCGCCUCUCGCUUAACGGUGUGCGCUUCAAGCGGAUAUCGGGGACCUCCAUCGCUUUCAAGAACAUCGCUUCCAAAAUUGCCAAUGAAUUAAAACUAUGAAAAUGAAACAAAAAAAGAGACAAAAGAUUAUGGAAAAAAAUUAGCUAUACAUCCUCCAAGUAGCAGUUUUCUCCAGGACAUUCACAAAUUAUGUAUUGAAAAUAUUGUAUACAAUGUGUUAGGCAAUAAUUUCUUUCAGCGUCAAAAUGGUAUUAUUACUAUUGCUAUUGUGGUUGUUAUGAUUGUGGUUGUUGCCUUUGAGUUGUUAAACUGCUGAGUAAGAUGAAGUGUGAAGGAAUGAGCCGCUGUUUGUAAGUGCACUAUGGUGAGAGACAGCCAUGGCCUCAGGGGCUCACCCCCCAUCCUGGUGUGUGGUGGUUGUACAGGGUUGGCUGAAAGAAGCCAGUCAGGUGAUGUUAAAUGGAGUCAUGGAGGCAAAACACGGCCACUCAGCCUAACCUGUAAGGAAGGACCUCCCGGACAUUACUGGAUGCAGGGAGGAGCAGGCAGAUUCUGCACAUAAUUAAAAUUAUUUCAUAAAUCAUUGGACAGGGAUAACUUUGAGGCUACACCGUCAUACUCACAGGUGGGGGGCGUUGGGCACUAUAGGCCUGAGCUGUGCGGCCUCCUUGUCCUCUGGAGGUCAGUGGGUUUUAAUGUCUUGGUUGAUAUGAGUAUUAUGAGUAUCACUGGUGGGGGUGUUUUGUUUAUUUUUGGGACCCUCUCAGUAAAAUAAGGGUAAUGCCACUGCAUCCUGCUAGGCCUGCCAGGAUGCUCGGGCUGAACCAGGCACACUCUGCCCGCCUGCGUCACACUGUUCUCUCUCUUUUUAUAAGAGCUGAAAGAUAAAAGUGUAACCUGUCACCAGAGAAGGGUGAGCCCUGUUGCAGGAACUCCUUAAAACCAGCAGGUUUCGGUGUCUGUGAGAUCAGCCUGGUGGGAGGAGAAGGUCAGCAGCGGCACGGUCUUCUGCUCUCCCAUAACAACAGUGGCAGCUCCGCGGGCAGCAUGGGAUUCUUUGCAUAAAACAAAAAUUUAGCUGAACAAUGUUAAAGAAGAAAUGAAGCCCUGAGUUAAUAUGAGCUGAUCAAGGCCAGUUUAGCCAAAGGCUGACUGGGAGCAUGAUACCCCAGCCUGGCCUUCCAUUACCCUCCAGUGCAUACUGGGGUACUCUAGCCCCUCACAGCGGCACCUUUAAGCUGCUCUAUUACAAUGGGAGGCAUCAUUUACCAGAAGGCAGGGGUCAGUCAGCAUGAAAGCAAUGUGUCGCACAGGCCGUUACUGCCUUAAGGUCCCUACAGAAAGUCAACAUUCAGUAACUCGCAUUGUUAACCUUAUGACCUCAUGCAAAGAGCGCAGGCUUUAAGCACAUAUUUGUAACUUCUUGAAUGCUUCAUGAAAAUUCUCUGUGUACUGUAUACACCAACACUGGAGAUGCCACCUGGAUUGGGUAAUUGUACUCUAAUCCAUCCAGAAAUAUAUGUGGUUCAAAUGCAGACUUGUGUAUUGUUACUGCAGGAAUGCUACUUAUAAAAGCACCUUUUUGUCUUUGAGGCUUGAUUGGCUGAUCCUCUUCUUCUGUCAUUGAGUCUGGUACUUGUCCUGGGAUGACUAUUGUGGUUUUAUACUUCAUAGCCUUGUUCAAAAUCGGCCCAUUCUAUGGUUUUUAAAGACUGGGACUGGGGAACUUCGGCAUGGUUCCCACAGGUCAUGCAAUUUCUAGAAUAUAAUGGAAUGUAAAAAAUCUAUUGCAGGUAUAGAAAGUCAGGAGAUUUCAUUGUUUUUUUGGGUCAAGUCAUAGAAUGCCAGGGAAUUUUGUUUGUAGAUGUUUUAGUUGCCAUUCAUCAAAAAUAUAAUAGUCUCCAUGCAGUAUUAUUCUUUAUCAGGUUAUUUCAUACAUUUCCUUGAUUGCGUGUUCGGUUGUUAUUGGUUACUUAAUUUUUCGGUGCCCAACACCUGGCAGUGACUUCAGUCAAGAUGUGCAGUGUUCUGUGCCUGCUAAUGAAGGCAAACGUGCCAAGAACAUGUAAAUUUCAAGAGCUUUGGCUACAAAAUGAUAACUUCAAAUGUUGGGUGUUAAGAGUAGAUAACAGAAAAGCUCAUUGUGAAGUUUGUAAAACUGCUAUUGAUCUAUCAAAUACCAUAGAGCAGAGCAAUGCUCGCAAAUGGUUCUUACAGAGAUUUUCUUGUGCUGAUAUAGCUAUCAGAUAAACAUAAAGUUUUCAUAGUGACUUAUUUUGUAGGUAAUGACUGGGGAAUAUAACAACAUUUUUAUUUAAUGCUCAUAUUGUUACCAAUUGUGUCAUGAGGAAUUAACCUGAUCGUAUGUCUCGCCCUCAAAGCAUAACAUCCAUGGUGUGCAAAGAAACAAAGCCUCACUAAUGCACCACCUUAGAUGUGAUGGGUUAAGGAGUGGCAUGUGGCUCUGUGGGUGAUGGGAAGGUGGUGGGCUUGAAUCCCGUGGCUAACAGAGUGAUGUCACCAUCAAGCCCUUAGGCAAGGCCUUUAACUCCAGUUGUUCGAGGGACACUGGCUCACCCUGCUGUCCAGUCCUCACUCAUGUGCCAUUUUCGACAAAAGCAUCUACUAAAUACAAUGUAAAUGUAAUGGUAAUGGUUACCUGCAUUUCACUCAGUCUGCCUGUCCUGGGGUCCCCAGUCACCACAGACUGACACGAGUGAGGGACACCCAGCCCACAGAACGCAGCUGUGAUUAGAGGGGGUGCCAGGCAAGUCAGUGGAGAUUUUAAUAGACUUAGUCGAAAGGAUCAGCAGGCAUGUUUGACUCAUGUUUGCUAAGUUGUACUUUAUAGUUGACUAAAUUGUCAUAUAAUCAACAGAGGCAAUGUGGAGCUCUGUUACUGGCCAAUGUCUCCCAGUGCCUUACUUAUAUAUGUGCAGGUAGUUAUAAAACCAUAGAACUGCUUUUCUGAUUUAAUCUUGUCAUAUUUGACUCAAUGUGUAUUUUUUAUUGUACAGGAUAUAUUGCCUGUAUGUGCCUUUCCCUGCUUAUUGACCAUUUAGGAACAUGUAUCCUGUGAAUAAGGAAGAUGAAUCAUAAAGUGAAAAUAAACAAAUGCAUUAUGGCUUAAGAUAUUCCAGAAGUGGCUGUUUAUAAAUAUUAAGACAGUCUAUGUAGCCAUGUGAGGAUAAAUAUUUUAACCAUUCAAGGAAUAGUUUCCCUGUCUUCAAGGUGUCCAAAACCAUGACAGAACGUCUGGUAUGGAGAUAUUCUCUGAUCUAUUUCCCUACAGGCCCUUACUCCAGUAAGACCAGUGUUUGGGCAGGUAUGGGGAUCUUUAGAGCUUUCAGGUGACAAGCCACCUUUAAACUGUCACCACUCAGCUGGUUUAUACUUCAAUUAUAGGGCACCGUAACAUAUUUAGUAUCCCAAAGUUUACUGUGUUGCAGUCAGUGGUGCCUGCAGAAUAUUUUGUUUGGCAUAGGCAUUAGGGGGGCAUUAUAUUAAUGGGGAUGCCAGCAGAUCCAUGGGCCAGAUUUGACCCAUUUUAAGUGCUUUGUGGGCAACCGUUCUGAAAUGUGCAGUUUAAAAGAUGCAUUGAAUUGAUGUGGGGCUUCCAUUCCAAGAGGUGGUACCAUAUUUUCUACCCCUGGUUGCUACAUUGUAGUUAUUAGCUGUAGUGAUAUUUCCAUGACACUUGACUGUCCUCAAAUUAUGAAGUAUAAAUUCAGUUAGUGCCCACUUCAGGGAGAGAUGCUUCUGAUGUUGGAAACAUGGACAAGUUUUUGAAAAGGAAGAGUUCAGAAAACAUGCUUGAUCCUGAUCCAGCAGGCUAAGAGCAAUGAUGUGUUGUUCGUAAGGGACAAUUAGUAUGAGAACUGUAUAUUGAUACCUUUUAGUUCUUUAUACUGGUUCCAGGACAUUUAAUUUGUUAGGAUGUUUAAUUGAUUUAGUACUAGAACUAAACAGCUUCUCACAGAACAGCUUCUAACUGCAUUUCUUAUUUACCAUUGUGAAGUUCUGAAACGAUUUUUACAACAGCAGGGUUGGUGUCGUCAUGCUCACUUUCAAAGCAAAAAAAAACAAAAAAAAAAAAAAACAGUAUUUGCCUCAAGUUUCACAGGAAAUUUUGUAGAAGCAAUUUUCCUUGUAAAUUAACCAAUAUGCUUGGUAGUGUUUGCUCUAAUCUAAUAAACAAGUGGUAUUGGA